GGGGUUGUAGCUCAAUGGUAUAGUGCUUGCCUUGUACACGUGAGGCCCUGGGUUCCAUCCUCAGCACCACCU
rnacentral:tRNA from 1 species